ensembl:lncRNA
GUCCGUUCAUCUAAUGAGGAUGAGAAUCUUAUAUGAUAUUUGAAUCGGGUCUCAUCGAAGGCAGAGUAGGAAUCAUAGGUGUAGUAUGCCAUGAUUAUGGACGGUGCUCCAACUGAGGCCAAAUCUAUUAAGAUUCUUGUUGUUUCCCUGGGAAGAGUAAGGCCUGAUUAUCUCUGGGAUAUCUAGCUGAACUAAGAUUUUCUUAAUUUGUAGGCACCUUCCUUUGAGCCUUGUUAGUGGUCUCAUUCUCUUGUGUACCUUGUGCCAAUUUCUUUGGUUGGUUCUCAAGUGAUGUACAUACUAUUGUAGUUUUCAGGAUCAGAUAUUGGCUUCAUCCCAUUUUAAGAACGUUGUUGCAUGGUAAGCUCCAGGAAUUCGGUGAUAGAAUUGGGAAACUUCUGUCCCCAAACAGUUCCUUGGAGGAAAAAUAUCUCUGAUAUGGAUUGGGAGUAAAAAGUUCUAGAGGAGGGAAGGAGUGCUGAGAGAGCCUAAGUGUUCGAUAAAUUAUGAACUAACCACAAUGCAUCACAGUCUCCAUGAUUUGCAAGGAAUCCAAUAAAGUGGGGGAAUGUUCUAUUUGCUUUACUUUCAGGGACAGAGUCCCUGUCUCAUACAGGACAAGGACGGCUUGCAGAGGAACUGAGUAUGGAACAUCAGAUGAAGUUGGAAGAAGCCUAACAUUGCCUGCCCUGAAGUCAUCAGUUCAAGAUCUCUUGCUUGAGGAUACCUGAAGGGAAAGUGACUACAGGUUAUGCUUGUGUUUGGUGAAGCCUAACAUUGCCUGCCCUGAAUCAUCAGUUGAAGCUCUCUUGCCUGAGGAUACCUGAAGUGAAAGGAAUCCAAAAAAGUGGUGGAAUGUGCUAUUUGAUUUACAUUCAGGGACAGAGUCCCUGUUUCAUACCGGAGAAGGACGGCUUGCAGAGGAACUGAGUAUGGAACAUCAGAUGAAGUAGGAUGAAGCCUAACAUUGCCUGCCCUGAAGUCAUCAGUUGAAGCUCUCUUGCCUGAGGAUACCUGAAGUGAAAGCUCUACAGAAAUUUAUCACUAAACACUGAGAUGUAGCAGAGAACCUACAAAGGAUAGAUAGCCUCAAUCUUUAAGGCUCAAUGAGAAUCACCACAAAGACAUUUUAUUCUUCCUGAAGAUGCCUUCUAUGAUAACUUUGCAUGGAGAAGCUGGGCUAUUCUGAGAUGUCGGUUGCCUGAACAAUUCUUAGGCCUCAGAAGGAUGGCUAGACAACAUCUUUAUAAUAAAGAGUUGAGUCAUGCAAAUGACCUACUAUAGGAAUCUCUUCAGGUAAUAACUACUAGUAGGAAAUACCUGAAAGAAGACUCUUCAGACUAAUAUCUCAUCACCAUAUAUUAUCCUAAAGCAUAUUCUGAAGAUGAUAUCUACAGUGAUGAGUUGGAGUCAUAGAUGGUGCCACUUCUUCAACCAGCUAUAUCACCAAAACAAUCUUCAUUAUACAUGAUGAUGCCUCUUUCCUGUGUAGCAGCAGACACCACCUUCAGAUAAGAAAUGCUUAAGUGAGAAAUGCUCAUUUUGGGAUAUCAUCGGUGAAACUAUAAUUUGGGCAUGGUGCCUGUUUCCCUUGCUGCCACUUGACUCAAUCCCAGAAGCUUAAUAGAUGAAAUAGUAAUGUACAAGGAGCUCAAAAUGGUGGAAGUAAUUAGUGCUUCUAUAAAUAUAGAUUAAUGAUUUAAAAUAUGAUAUAUUAAAAAGAAAAUGCAUGACUAAAAAAACCUGAAUGCAUACUUAUAUGAUUAAUACAUAAAUCAUGUACCUUCUCUUUGGAAAAUUAUCCCCAUGGUUUCUCUCUGUUAAGGGAAGGUAUAUAUGCUUUUAAGCAAAAAAAUAUACACGACAUACACAUACUGUCUGGUGGGGGACAUCUAGUAGUAAGGGCAUAUUGUUAUGCAAAUUUCUACUUUUGUUUGAGUCUUUUUAUGAGGUUUUGCUAUUUCAGUAUUCAUAUUCAUACCUAUGUCAUUUGUUGAGUGACUAUAUGACUGUUUUUAGAUGAAAUAGAAUGAAAUAUUUUAAACAUUGCUAUACAUUGGCAGUUAUAUAGGUACCAAUUCUCUGUGCAAUACACUUCCAUACAUAACAUUUCUGCAUUUGUCUCCUCUAUCAGAGUAAAUUUACCUAGAACUUAAAUUAUUGAAAUUAAGUAUAUUAAUGCUUCAAGUUUUAAAAUUAUCAUUUCUUUCACAAUGUACUUGAAGAGAUUUCCCCUUAGAGCCAAUGAGUUAUAUUGCCAAAUUCUUCAAAAUACCAUUAUGGUGGAUUUUACGAGUGAUUCAGGUCCUUUCCAGUGUGUUAGCCGGAAUUGUUGUUAUGAAUUGUAUUUAUUUUAUUUUUGAGUUUGAUCAUUUUCAUGUUUAUAAGCCAUCUGUAUUAUUUUAAUUUCUUAUUUAUGUAAAAGCCUGGGAGUAUGGUGAAGAUUUAGUCUAAAGUUCUUUUACUGUUGACAAAAGAUAAGAUUUUGGAUUGUCAAACAUUACAUGUUUGUCACACUUUUAAACUUUGUUUUGUUAUCAGAAUGUAUAUUACUGUUACAUGUCUAAGUAUAACCAUGUUUGUUUUUAUGACUUCUAAGUUUCAUGUCAUUUUUUUUGAAAAAAAUAUACUGAGCCCAUAAAUCCUUUCACCUAUGUUAAUCGUAAUUAUUUUGUGUUUUUUAAAGUGAAAUUCUUGCAUCAUGAAAAGAAUUUUAUUUUGAAAUCUUAGAAUUGCCAAGUUAUUUGCCAUUAUUUAUAAUUAUUUGCUAGUAAUUGCCCAUUUAUCUGUAAUGCCAUCAUGCAUAUGUGCUGUAUUCUCAUCCAUGGAUGGCUCCAUUUUUGUUGUGUGGAUAUGUGUGUCUCUUCUGCCUUAUGUCUCAUGUGUCUUCUUGUUGGAAGAAAUUACAGUUUAGACUGUAAUUUCAUCAACCUUAAUAAAUCAAUCUGGGAAAAACUUGUUUUAAAUGAUAUUGUCUUUGUAAAUCAAGCCAAAGUAUGUCUCUUUUAUUAAAUAUUCAAUUAUUAUUGAUAUUUUCACUAUAACCUUGG